GACGAACGCUGGCGGCGUGCUUAACACAUGCAAGUCGAACGGAAAGGCCCUGCUUUUGUGGGGUGCUCGAGUGGCGAACGGGUGAGUAACACGUGAGUAACCUGCCCUUGACUUUGGGAUAACUUCAGGAAACUGGGGCUAAUACCGGAUAGGAGCUCCUGCUGCAUGGUGGGGGUUGGAAAGUUUCGGCGGUUGGGGAUGGACUCGCGGCUUAUCAGCUUGUUGGUGGGGUAGUGGCUUACCAAGGCUUUGACGGGUAGCCGGCCUGAGAGGGUGACCGGCCAACAUGGGAAUGGGGUACGGGCCAGAAUCCUACGGGGGGCAGCAGGGGGGAAUAUUGCCAAAUGGGGGGGAGGCUGAUGGAGGAAAGCCGGGGGGGGGAAGAAGGCCUUUGGGGUGGAAACCGCUUUCGCCUGGGAAGAAGCGUGAGUGACGGGAAUGGGUAAAGAAGGAACGGCUAACUACGUG
rnacentral:rRNA from 1 species